UUCCUCCUUCACGAACAGAUACGUCAAUCACCGCGUCACCGGGCCACGGUCGGCACCGACUUCCUCUCCAAAAACGGUCCACGUGGAUGGAGACACGCUGAACCUUCAGGUGCCGGUCAGCAAGGCCCGGCAGCGGUGCGAGCAAAUCGGGAGGACCUGGACGUGGAGGAGCCGUUCCUGAGUUCCCGCUUGCGGCAGGUGAUUCCCGGGGUCGCUUUUGAAUCUUUGCUGCGAGGGUGAGGAAGAAAGACGCAAAGCAGCUCGUCUUAUGUUUAUGUUUUAACAUGUUUAUUUUUUUGAUGAUAAAAGAUACAUUACUCCCUACAGUACAAAAAACACACAUUGGAAAAUACAGGACAUUUCCAGAUAACCUGCAAAGAGCCGAGAGAAACUCGCAACACCUGCGAGUGCUGAGAGCAGCGCUCGUCCCAGUGUGGGAGGGAAAGUUCAGAGAGACCUCGGCACCGCUGAUGACCUGUCUAACGAGGGCGCAAAAAUAGUGACCCGCCAAGGUGCUGUGGAAGGAAAGGACACAAUUGUAUACCACAUGGAGAGAGGAACCAACUCAUUAAAUGUUUUUGGGGUUUUUUUCUUUUUUUUUUUGAGAACCUUCAGUUUAUGGUCUAACUUAAGGCAUCACUACUAAAAUACACUGCUUUUGCAUGCAUGUCUAGUUUUGUUCAACAGACACACUGACACACACAAAUUAUGAAUGCAUAUGAGAGAGAAAGUUAUUUUCUAGUAUGAAAUAGGGGGAGAAACCAAGGCGCCGGUCGGAGAAAAGGCGGCGAGCGAAGACCUCGGCUGUGAUCAUCCUGGCCGUUACCGUAACAACUGAAUCCGCUCUUACAAAGUAGAUAUACACUCAUGUCCGGUCAGAAACUUCCUCCCUGUACGACUUCUUAUACCGUAAUGAAACUAGCAGUGAUUCAGACUCCUACAGUGAAUCAGCUCGACAGAAGCAAAUUAAAACCAUCAGGGAGACUAUAUAUAUAUAUAUGUUUCUUUUAUAAGUAGAGACACAAAAAGGCAAUCAAGAGAUGACCAACAUGUAAAAACAGUUUGUUACAGGUAAUUAUAUAAAAGGCCAAGAUAUUGUCGUUUUGUUUGUUUUAUUCUUGCGCUAUGAAGGAACUAAUUUACAAGUGAGUACACUCCGACUACGUAAGCGUUCUUCCCAAGACAUCCCCGUUCAAAAGACAUACGGCCCAACGCGUCACAGUAAGCUGCACACCAUCUGCCGUCUGAAGUACAGAGCCGUGGAAGGAAAACAAAAGUUAAAAUUUAUUAAAUGGAUUCACAUACAUCAAUAGGAAAGGGAAAAUAUGUCGACUAAUAUAAUUUGCCAUUCUAAAAAUGAAAGAAGACGCCACAUUCAUGAGCAUAAAAAGGGCAGGACAACUGAUCGGGAUGUUUUGGGAGGGCUAGGUAAGAAAAGAUCAGGUGUUUUCCUCAUAUGCCGGCAAAUUCCAUGUUUGGCAAACAAAGCAACACAAGCGUCGAGUAGUAAACAAAGUAAAAACUCUCCCUGGGUCCACUUCAAAGUUCCCUUCAGUCCUAUAACCUCUGUGGGUUCUACUUGGAACAAAUACAAAAGUUCUUCUCGCUUUUGUUACCUUCUGUGAACAAGAACAUACAACCAACUUAAUGAAGAUUUUUUUUUUUUAAAGAGUGGCAACCGCAACACAGCCACCGAUCGUCCCACAAACACAAACUACGGUGGAUGAACAACUGUUAAAAAAAGUGAUGUUUUUAAAAACGCACACGACAUACACAUACACACGCAGGAGGGGGAAAAAAAGCUUAAAAAAUACAAAAAUAAACUACACAAAUGAUCUUCUGCGUCACUGCUUGCUAAUUUUUUGGGAAGAUUUUGAAGAUGUGUGUGUGUGUGUGUGUGUGUGUGUGUGUGCUGCAAGUCUCAGUUCUAGCAAAGUCUGUCAUUCAAUUUCUACAAAUCUCUUCGUCGUUCUCUUUUUUUUGUCCACUUUGAAGUGUCGGCCAUCAGUCCUCAUCUUGGGGUCAAAAGCGCACAGUGAUGACAUUUACAGGAGACGGGAGUCCAGCACGAUGAAUACAGACUUGGUUCUCAAUGAAGCAAAUUUGUUUUGACCAAAAAAAAAAAAAAAAAAAAA